GCCUGGGAUCGAACUCGGAUUUGGGGGCCGAAAAUGGCCGGAGCAGGAGGCGCGGGGCCGGGCGCUACCUUGUAACUGAGUUGGGCUCUUGCCUGGGGUCGCCCAUGGACCCGCGGGGUAACCUCGGGCUACCCCGUAUGCGGUCGAGGGCGGGGCGCAGAGUCCCUCCCAGCGGUCUCCCUGAAGGGGUCUCAGGGGAAGGAGGGGGGCACGUGGGUCCUGACCCCGCCUGAGGCAGCUGCAUCAUCCACCCCGGAACGAAGCCGGCAGCGUCUGCGACCCGGCAGGAGCGAUGCUACGGGACCAGGUUUCGACUUGAAUCCGAAAGCGCCUCUUAACACCCAUUCUUUGCAGGAGGACACUCAGAGAAGGCGGGGUCUCCAUUUGGACUGCUGCGCGCCCAUUUAGCGGCCCAGACUCACAUACAAGCGUGUCCACGUCUACAGCACAGAGCUGUGCACAUCAGGCGCCCGCGGAUGCGCGGGGCUGGUCGCACUUAACAGUGUGCAUACACAUGGGUGCAUGCACGCGCGCGCGCGCGCACUCACACUCCAAAUUACCUCCGGGAUGGAGAAAGCCGCCACGGAUUGGCCGGCAGAGCCGUCACUCACACCCAAGGGGCAGGGAGACUUUGCAAGGCUGUUUCCUUUUUUUCUUUUUUUUUUUCCCCCUUUUUUUUUCCCCCUUCCCUCCCUACCGUUUCAUUUAAUGGUGAAACAACAGAGCACUGAAAGUUAGCCAUCUGCGCGGAGAGUUUGCUUUCUUUAACGACGGGGGCGUCAGAUAAUAUCCAUUUAAAUAUAUUUUGUACUUCCACAAUGGAUGAAAAGGGAAAUUAGCAAUCCGAGGUGGGGGCGGAGAGGGAGCUAGGAGUGAGUAGGAGGGGGUCAUCCGGAGGGGUGGAAGAAGAGUGUAGAGUUGUUCUCAACGCCCAAAAAUGACGUUGACCUUUAUUGAUCUCGAAAUUUAAAAAAUGUUUUUCACAGAUCAGAUUAUAAACAAAUGCCGAUCCUCAUUGAUGAACUCAUUAUUUUAAUUUUAUCAUUUAAGCAUGCGCCAGCAAUCGUGUUUCCUUAAGAAAGAACUGACCUAUUUUUGGCUGGAGAUAAACGAUCAUGUUAACAGAUGUUAAUCUUGUAAUCUGUUUUUCUUGUAAGCACUUUACAUACCCGGGUUUCAGACCUUAAAAAUAACAUCUUUUCCAAAAGGACCUGACGUCACAAUUCACUCCCUGAAAAAUCACACCCCCCCCUCCAGUUUUUUUUCCUGUGCAAUGAUUUCAAAGACAUUAAAUCUUUUUCACUUUAUAAA